rnacentral:lncRNA from 1 species
UAAUAUAGUACGAUAUAUUUUCUCUUUAAUUCCGUGAUUACGACUGCGAAUAAACUAUAGAAAACUAUAAAAAUAGCAGUCUCAGGAUCACCCUGGAACAACUAUAGUAAUACUGAACAUGGUUGUCGUUUUCAAUAAUAGCAAAAUAGUUAAAUCUGUAUAAUCACUAAAGUAAAACGUUGUCAAAUAAGCUAUAGGCCAAC